UCAAGACGGGUCGUUUAAAGCCAUUAUGUCAACAUCCUAAGCUCGAACGUACCCGAAGGUCGGCCAUAAAGGCGAGCUGCAGUCCUCAGUCUCACCCAGUGUAUGUGAUAAUAGGCUAUAACACUUCCGGAGAAGUCACAUUCCUACUACCUUUAUCCACCGGACAAAACUGAUGUUGACCCGUUCAAAGGAAGUAGACCAGCAGAACCGGCUGAAUCCAAAGAACACGACUGACUUCAAUCGUUUCCCUUUCAACAAUUUCACGUACUGUUUAACUCUCUUUCCAAAGUGCUUUUCAUCUUUCCCUCACGGUACUUGUUCGCUAUCGGUCUCUCGCCAAUAUUUAGCUUUAGAUGGAAUUCACCACCCAUUUUGAGCUGCAUUCCCAAACAACUCGACUCGUAGAAGACGUAUCACAGAGCACCGGUGGUCGUGUUAAGUACGGGAUUAUCACCCUCUUUGAUACUCCUUUCCAGGAGACUUGGACACGGUCCGGCACGGAAAACGCCUCUAUAGAUUACAACUCGGACAAUCGAAGACUGCCAGAUUUCAAAUUUGAGCUCUUCCCGCUUCACUCGCCGUUACUAGGGGAAUCCUUGUUAGUUUCUUUUCCUCCGC
rnacentral:rRNA from 1 species